CUCAGGAUGAACGCUGGCGGCGUGCUAAUACAUGCAAGUCGAGCGAACAGACGAGGGAGCUUGCUCCUUUGACGUUAGCGGCGGACGGGUGAGUAACACGUAGGUAACCUACCUAUAAGACUGGGAUAACUUCGGGAAAACCGGAGCUAAUACCGGAUAAUAUUUCGAACCGCAUGGUUCGAUAGUGAAAGAUGGCUUUGCUAUCACUUAUAGAUGGACCUGCGCCGUAUUAGCUAGUUGGUAAGGUAACGGCUUACCAAGGCAACGAUACGUAGCCGACCUGAGAGGGUGAUCGGCCACACUGGAACUGAGACACGGUCCAGACUCCUACGGGAGGCAGCAGUAGGGAAUCUUCCGCAAUGGGCGAAAGCCUGACGGAGCAACGCCGCGUGAGUGAUGAAGGUCUUCGGAUCGUAAAACUCUGUUAUUAGGGAAGAACAAACGUGUAAGUAACUGUGCACGUCUUGACGGUACCUAAUCAGAAAGCCACGGCUAACUACGUGCCAGCAGCCGCGGUAAUACGUAGGUGGCAAGCGUUAUCCGGAAUUAUUGGGCGUAAAGCGCGCGUAGGCGGUUUUUUAAGUCUGAUGUGAAAGCCCACGGCUCAACCGUGGAGGGUCAUUGGAAACUGGAAAACUUGAGUGCAGAAGAGGAAAGUGGAAUUCCAUGUGUAGCGGUGAAAUGCGCAGAGAUAUGGAGGAACACCAGUGGCGAAGGCGACUUUCUGGUCUGUAACUGACGCUGAUGUGCGAAAGCGUGGGGAUCAAACAGGAUUAGAUACCCUGGUAGUCCACGCCGUAAACGAUGAGUGCUAAGUGUUAGGGGGUUUCCGCCCCUUUAGUGCUGCAGCUAACGCAUUAAGCACUCCGCCUGGGGAGUACGACCGCAAGGUUGAAACUCAAAGGAAUUGACGGGGACCCGCACAAGCGGUGGAG
rnacentral:rRNA from 1 species